AUUGAACGCUGGCGGCAGGCCUAACACAUGCAAGUCGAACGAGUGGCGGACGGGUGAGUAAUGUCUGGGAAACUGCCUGAUGGAGGGGGAUAACUACUGGAAACGGUAGCUAAUACCGCAUACCAUCGGAUGUGCCCAGAUGGGAUUAGCUAGUAGGUGGGGGAAAGGCUCACCUAGGCGACGCUCCCUAGCUGGGCUGAGAGGAUGACCAGCCACACUGGAACUGAGACACGGUCAAGACUCCUAGGGGAGGCAGCAGUGGGGAAGAUUACACAAUGGGCGCAAGCCUGAUGCAGCCAUGCCGCGUGUAUGAAGAAGGCCGUCGGGUUGUAAAGGACUGUCAGCGGGGAGGCGUUACCCGCAGAAGAAGCACCGGCGAACUCCGUGCCAGCAGCCGCGGUAAUUC
rnacentral:rRNA from 1 species